GACGAACGCUGGCGGCGUGCUUAACACAUGCAAGUCGAACGGAAAGGCCUGCUUUCCCUUGUGGAUUGCGGGUACUCGAGUGGCGAACGGGUGAGUAACACGUGAGUGAUCUGCCCCCAACUUGGGUAUAAGCCUGGGAAACUGGGUCUAAUUCCCGAUAGGACUGCAGGGUGGUGCCUGUGGUGGAAAACGAUUUUCUAGUGGUUGGGGAUGAGCUCGCGGCCUAUCAGCUUGUUGGUGGGGUAAUGGCCUACCAAGGCGGCGACGGGUAGCCGGCCUGGGAGGGUGGACGGCCACAUUGGGACUGGGAUGCGGCCCAGACUCCUACGGGAGGCAGCAGUGGGGAAUAUUGCACAAUGGGCGGAAGCCUGAUGCAGCGACGCCGCGUGGGGGAUGACGGCCUUCGGGUUGUAAACUCCUUGCGACCGCGAGGAAGCCACCUGGUUGGAAGGGUGGUGACGGUAGUGGUAGAAGAAGCACCGGCUAACUACGUG
rnacentral:rRNA from 1 species